AUUCUGCUAACGAAUGUUGAUUUGUUAGUGAAGGACUGACUACGACCAGAGAUCCCGCUUGAUGGCAUCCGAAGCAGAACUUUAUUAGACAUUCUCUGCCUAUAUCACAAUACCGCCAUGUUUAAAAUUCACAAAAAAACCUAAGAAGAUGGAGCUCACCAGCACUGAAGAGCGCAUUGCUGAAGAGGUACGCAAAUAUCCUCACCUCUUCAAUACAUCGAUAAAAGACUAUAAAGAUGCGCGAAUGACGGCCAAUUCGUGGCGAUCAAUAUCUGCAGCGGUAGAGCUGGACCCUAAAGACUGCGUAACGCGAUGGAGGAGGUUGCGGGACAAGUUCGUAAGGGCCAAGAGGACUUUUAAAAGCAUCAGUGGCGAUGCAGGAGGGAAGAAGAUGCCUGCCAUCCUAACGUUUCUGUCGUGGUUGGACCCGUUCGUGAAACAUCGUGAGACGUCCUCUAACUACGACAAAAAGACGGCGGUGUCAAACGCACCCAGGUUCGAGACCACCUGUGCCUGCAGCCAGGAUCUGGUGGAGCUCGAAAGAGAAAAGAUCAACAUCCUGAAAGGAAUUCAGCAAACCCUUAAGGACUCAGCGGCCAGGGAUGCCAGUUAUCAGGAGGAAGUCUUGGAAAUCAAGAGGGCUCGCCUCCAAAUGGAGGAAAAGAAGUUCCUGCUUGAGCAAAUGAAAUUUGAGAGGCCCUCCAUUUUUUUUACCGAUUCUUCUGCCCAACCAACAAGAUCCGAGUGAGGAGCAGGGAGAACAAACUCAGAAAUAAAACAAUUUUUUCUGUGAUAUCUUGUGCCUUGGUUUUUAACUCUUCUUGAUACUCCACUUUCCAUGGGCAAAUCAAUAAGAUUCCUAUAUUUUCUACUUGAUUGAGCAACAAGGUAAAAAACCAUGCAUAUAAAUUGUAUCACACAUGCCAUUCAGCUAGCAGCCUAAAUAAUACAAUGUACAAAUACAAACAUCUCAAUCUCCAACAUAUUUACUGUCUUAUUUUCUAGUGUUGACUAUAUCUACAAUCUUGCAAUAAUAGGCCAACAGCUUUCCAAGACUAUGUUUGCAAAAUCAUGAUUCCCACAUUGGCCACAAACGACAAUGUGACAAACUGUGAGUGUCAGAUCACUCUCUAAUCAGUUUAAUUGACAUACAGACCUGUUCAUUACAUUCUCACGGUAUAUAAAGGAGAGGUCUAGCCUACUUAUCAAGCGGAACAUGGCUGCAAAACAACAGAUAAUACGAGAGAGAGAGAGCAAUGGCGGCCCAGAAGUCAGCUGGUAAGGCUCAAUACCUUUUCGAGGAUGACUGAGUCCACUGGACAUCCUUGAGGAUUCUGCCAUUCUACAUAAAUACCGGCUCAGGAGGACUGACAUCCUGAUGCUCCUGAACCUUAUCGAGACAGACCUGCCGAGGCCAACAAGGAGGUCCUACGCACUCACCCCUGCAACCCAGCUACUAGCUGCGCUACGUUUUUAUGGAACUGGCCAUUUUUGAGGGGUUCUUGACAAUGGACAUGGGCUCUCCAAGGCCUCAGUAUCGAGAUCCGUGCAGGCUGUCACAUUAGCAUUACUUCGCCACAUCCCAGACCACAUCCAAUUCCCCACAACAAGAGGCGACAAGUCUGCGGUGCAGGAUUUUUUGUUGUCAAACAUAACAUUCCCCAAGUCAUUGGGGUAAUUGAUGGCACCCUCAUUCCCAUCCUCACCCCUUCCAAUCAGGGCUAUGUUUUCUUUUGAAGGAAAGGCUUUGCUGCCAUCAACUGCCAGGUUAUCUGACCAUCAGGGGCUCAUCACUGAUCUUGUGGCCUCUCGUCCAAGGAACAGUUUCUUCCAACUCUCACUGACUCAUGUCUAAAUGGAAUUAGGCUCUUAAAAUGAACUUAAAUCCAGGAAAACAAUACCACAUCAGGCCAAAUGAGGUACCGGGGGAAUUGGACUGCACCUCCCUCUUCCCAGGUAGGCUAUUGUUGCCGCAUAUAUACUCUAUUCCUCCUGUCUGCAUGCUCACAUGUUUUGUUGCCCUCCCACCAUCUGCUUCUCUCAGGCACACCAGGGGGAUCUGCUCGUGCUUCUGCUCAGUCGUGACCCUCAAGGACUCUUCCACCACACCCGAGAUCCAGCCCGGACGCUAGGCUGCGCCAUCCAGCAAACGUUCUCCCCGGAAAGUGGACGACGUCCAAAGCUCAGACCCCGGGGGCACGGCAGGAGAUGCUGUAUAACUUCUACCCCCUGAUGGUGGGCUACCAGACAAUCCCCCUGCUCAACAUCACCCUGCUGCGCUUCCCCAGUCCGACCAAUCAGCUGCUGCGACGCUUCCUGUCCUCACGCAUCUUCGUCAAG